AUACGGAAGGUCCGGGCGUUAUCCGGAUUUACUGGGCGUAAAGGGCGUGUAGGCGGUCUUGCAAGUCAGAAGUGAAAUUCCUGAGCUCAACUCGGGCGCUGCUUCUGAAACUGCAGGACUUGAGUGCUGGAGGGGAUAGCGGAAUUCCUAGUGGAGCGGUAAAAUGCGCAGAUAUUAGGAAGAACACCGGUGGCGAAGGCGUCUAUCUGGACAGUAACUGACGCUGAGGCGCGAAAGCGUGGGUAGCAAACAGGAUUAGAUACCCUGGUAGUCCACGCUGUAAACGAUGAUUACUAGGUGUGGGGGGACUGACCCCUUCCGUGCCGCAGUUAACACAAUAAGUAAUCCACCUGGGGAGUACGGCCGCAAGGUUGAAACUCAAAGGAAUUGACGGGG
rnacentral:rRNA from 1 species